UUGUUCUUUGUCAGCAAGCUGGAAAUGAAUUGGUUGGGAAGCCUCACGUCUGCGUGUAAGAAUCAGGUUGAGCAAACAGAGCAACCACUCAUGAUCACUGCGUGUGUUAACUAAAUGGGGGUCCUGAGGUGGGCCGGAGAGAUGGGCGGGGCCGGGACCCUGACUGUUCCUCACCAACCCGGAAGGAAGCGCCCCGUGGAGUCAGCACACUGGAGUGAACGGGAGAACCCAGCCUGUACUUUUCCAUCCAGCGAGGUUACCCGUGGUUAGGCUGGGGCCAUGCCCCCUUCCUUCCAGAAUGUUCCGAUCCCUGGACUGAGGCCCCUGGGCUGGGGGAUUUCCAUCCAGCUGCCAUUUGGGGAAAUUCCAGCUGGGUGAGGUGUCUGUUCUGGAUUGGCUGGAAUGGGCACUGCCUCACUCAGCUCUCUUAUAAAAGGGACUGAAGCUGGACCCCGGGGUCGGACUGAAAGAAGGAGAACAGAACGGGUGGACAACAGCCAACGAGUAAGAAAGCUAAAGAGAAGAGAGAGCUGACUUGUGAAAGCGUGAGCUGUGCCUGACAGCAGCUUUGUUAAGUGAUUAUUGAAGCUAAAACAAAAAUAAAAGUUUUAGCCUUGAA